GCGGAUGUGGCGGAACUGGUAGACGCACUGGAUUUAGGUUCCAGCGCCGCAAGGCGUGGGGGUUCGACUCCCUUCAUCCGCA
rnacentral:tRNA from 2 species